AGUGAUCAUUAGAGUUUAGAGCUUGAGUUAACACUAGAAUAUUCAUAUCACUCUUUAACAGCAAAUCACGGUGAUCUCUGAUGAUGCCGCUGAAGCAACGGUUGCAAAAACCGAAAUGUGGCGCUUUCCAACAAGAGAAGGUGACGAUGAAGUAACUAAACGAGAUUUACCGGAAUCGACACUGAAGAAGCCAAAGCUCACCGAACCAAACAUACGCAGAAUCAAUUUUUUCCAAAUCAAUUUUCUUCACGGCAAAACCAAACACACUAGUUCUUACCUUCAACUGUUUUACUGGAAAUUUACCUGCAACUGAAGCGACCUGUAAGCAAUCCUUCCUUUAGCAAUUUUGAAUUGCAUUCACUGUAUUGUUGUUCAUGUCAAUAGUAAUAUUUUAUUUAUGGAUUACCCUCUAAAAAUGCACUUGAAUCUUAUGAAAAACAAGUACAUCAAUUAUUCAUUUUAAAAAGCACCAAAUACACGGCUUAAAUAUCACGGUCAGAGCACAUACACUUAUUAUGCUUAAACGAAAUCAUAAUAUUAAUGCAUCAGUAAAUAUAUAGGAAUGGGAUAUGGUUAAGAACCAUAUAAAAAUCUCAAUCUUCCUUCUUAUAGUCAAAAGCAG